GUUAAGUUAUACACAGAAGAAUCACCCGUAAGGAUGCUGAGGUGGAUACUCAGCGUUCAUUUCUUAUGGUUAUGUCAGCGGGGAGAUCUAGCUUAACAUAAAUAGUGACUAAUAUGCGAGUUUGUACCAGAGACUACGUUUGAUGGUCGAAGUACUAGGUGAUGAAAAAGUGUAAUAAAAUACGAUAAACUAGGAAGACAACAGAACUCGGGUGUGAGCAGUCCAAUACACCUUAACACCUAGAUUAUUCCUCCCCUUUCCCCUCCUCCUCUUCUCCUUUGAUAACCUAUCUUUUCCCUCCC